rnacentral:lncRNA from 1 species
GUCUUGGGUUUACUAGUUAUUGAUUUCCAUAGUUAUUUCUAAAUAAUUCAGUUACUAUUAGAUUAUUGCUAAAAAUUACUUUUAAGACCAGGGCCGGCUCCAGCAUUUCUGCCGCCCCAAGCAAAAAAAGAAAAAAGCCGCGAUCGGCGGCGGCAGUUCAGCGGCAGGUCCUUCGCUCCUAGAGGAAGUGAGGGACCUGCCGCCCCAGAAUUGCCGCAGGUGCUACCCCUCUCCCUUGGCCGCCCCAAGCACCUGCUUGUUAAGCUGGUGCCUGGAGCCGGCCCUGUUUAAGACAGAUAAUUCGUUUGACCGCUCCAAGGAAAUCAAAUUGCUAAUACUGAGCAAUUAUAAAUAAUUCAGUUCUCUGGGUAAGGAACAGGUUUCCACCCUAUGAAACUAAGACCUUGUCUACACUUGCGGCAGCGUGUGGGAUAUGUGUUGGCAGCUACUACACAUUGCAGCGAAAGGCUGACUGUGUCCAUGUCUUCGAUGUGUGACAGUGAAAGGCUCUGGCACGUGGGAGGCAGUGGGACACUACAGUUCUAAGAAUAGCCGUGUAGCUGUGAGAGGCCCUGCGUGGGUGUGUAGAGAGCUGUGUAGGGGUUCAGGAGUGUAGGGCACUUUGCUCUAUUCUACUCACCUAAGCCGUGCCUCCCUGUCUACACUGCUAUUCGUACCCCUGCUAGCUGGGCAUGCAGUGUCUGUACUCAUCACACCACUGCAAGAAUGGCUCUACUAUAAAAAAACAUCUAAAGAAGCUAUCUGUACAUCACUGAUGCUUUCUGAAUCAAUAACUAGAACAUGUACACCUCCCAAUCCUGAAUACACAAGAGUCAAAACAAACUUAAAUUUAACCUGGGUGCUGUGUGCGCCGUUGUCCCUCAACUUGUUUCUUUUACAGGUUAUGGUCACAGAAUUAACUUUUUGGUUCUUCCUGUAAAUCAUUUAUUAACCCAAAUGUUUAAGAAUGUAACUCUGGUAACAUUUUAUAAUCAAUGCAUUGUUUAUAGAACAGUCUAUAACUGUGCACAGGAUAAUUCUCAGCAUGCCUGGCUUAGUGUGAAAUUUGCAUAUUUGUUUUUUCUAGGUUCAGUUCCAAUAGUGCGAAUUGUGGGGGAGUUUAUUCAAUGACUUUGACUGUAAAUUUGUUGUUUCGUAUGUGGAUGGCUUUGGCAAUCCUCAGGGGAGUUAUAAGACCUGGCUGUAGUUUCUGAAGAGGGCAACAGCCUUCUAAUUGAUCAGCCGAAUACAGGGCAGGUUUGUGUCCAUGGGCAUUACACAAGCCAGGCCUUUUCUUGCAUUGUGUAACAGGUCUAAUUCCAGCCGCAUGUAAGCGGGUGCAAUUUCAUUGACUUCAGUGGGGUUGUGCCCACUUACACCAGGUUUGAAUUUGGCCUAUUAAAUUGAAUCAGAUUUAACUAGGGGGUUGC